AUCUCAGAUUAAGUAAGACUACCCGCUGAAUUUAAGCAUAUAAUUAAGCGGA
rnacentral:rRNA from 1 species